AACCUUUACCCAACUGGGAGUCUAUUGCUAAGCAGUCAAUGGCCAACGCUAAACAAUCAAUGGCGUCCUUUAACUAUCCUUUCUACGCGGUUUCUGCGCCUGCUAGUCCCACUCAUCGCCAGUUUCAUGCUCCGGCGACUAUACCUGAGUGUGAUGAGUCUGACGCGUCCACUGUUGACUCUGGUCAUUGGAUAAGCUUUCAGAAGUUUGCACAACAGCAACCAUUAUCUGGCUCUAUGGUGCCAACAUCUCCUACUUUCAAUCUUGUGAAACCUCCUCCUGUGCCUCAGCAUAUGUCUCCAAAUGCUGCUGGCGUGUUCCAAGAGAUUGGUCAAAGCUCUGAGUUUAAAUUUGAGAAUAGACAAGUUAAGCCGUGGGAAGGAGAGAUGAUACAUGAUGUUGGUAUGGAGGAUCUGGAGCUUACACUUGGAAACGGCAAGGCUCGUGGUUGACUUUGAUCACUUGAAACUGAGAAGCUAUUCUUCUUCCAGGUAUCUCUGGAUCGUUAUGGAAUCUCAUUUGUUCAAUUCAUGAGCUUGAUUUCAAAAGCAUUAUUUGUAGAUAAAGAUAUGUCAAGAUGUAUGAAUAUUAUUAUGUUUCCUUACAAAUGUUAACAUUCAUGAGCGGCUUGAAAGCGUUGUGUGUUGUCUUUAUCAAAUUAAUUGGUGAUGUAUCAUGUCUUGAGCCCAUUUUGCUUCUCAACAUCAAAGAUCCAUAAUUUGCGUAACAUGUUUUGUGACAAAUCUGUAUUUCCUUGCAGUUCAAUAUUUUUGUCAAAAACUAACACAUAUCAUCAAAUAUCUAGUUAGACAAAGCUAGCUAGAAGAAUAACACAACUACCUACAAAUGCUACAUUUCAUAAUGAAUACACUCUUGAGUUGAGUCUGUCUUCUGAAUACAAACAAGUCACAUGGAACGCAAAUUGAGUGCGGUCAGUCUCAGCAUUACAUUCUUGGUAUCUGAAGCAAGCUGUAAGAUGGUCAUUCACAAAAGUUUGAAAGCCAUCCCAACACAACUCCAUCUCAACCUUAGCCUCACCUUCGCAUGCCGUUUCUUUUUCCCUUUUUCUUUCUAACGGCUAACCACUAAAAUCCUUAUUGAUGGGCCUCAUCAACUCUUUAAAGCCUCAUCAACAAACAAACAAGAAUUGGUGUAAAGCUGUGUGUAUUAAAAACUCUGCAACAUCUUUUGAUUCACAACCGUAACUGUACACUUCUACUGCAUAGCCCUUGAGUAAAGAACUAAAAGACUAAAAGAUUUAUCUUCCUUUAAACUGGUCCGAGAGUGUUGAAAUGGUCCCAUGCUUCCUAUAAGAUUGAACCAGACAAAAAGAAAGAAUUUAGAUUCAAACGAUCCUGCAAUUUUUUAGAAUCAUCACAAACAUUUUAUUUGCUUGUGAGAGAGAACCUGUAAUAACUCGAAAACUUUUUCAGCCAUGUAUUUCUGGUUGUCAGAAGCACCCUUCGGUUGUAGCUUAUCUGGAUGAAGGAUUAGUAAUGCUCUCUGGUACGAUUUUCGAACUGCGUUUCCUUCUAUCAAGUCCAUAAGUGGAACCGCCUUCCAUCCACACCCGGGCCAUAGAAUCUGUCAAGUAAAGCUUCCAUAACAUUACUUGUGCAAAAGGGCUAAUCCGUAGACCCAAUAUGUUACCUCUGAUAGAAUACUUACAUACUGCAGUGUGGACAACAGAGACCGGAUGUUUCCGCUCUUCACUUAUCGCAAGGUCAAUCCCCAAUCUAAUUUUCAGAUCUGAGCUUAUCUCUGUAUAGAUAGUGUAAAUCUAAUGACUUUCAAUUGAGGGCUUGAAUCUGAUUCGAGCCUUCUUUUGAUUAAAGAUCAUGUCUUUAUUAAACGGAUCUAAUGUCUUAAAAAGUUAAAUUUAGCAUUUUUAUUACUAAUCUCAGAGUGAUACGUGUGUUUUGUAAGAAACAGCUAAUGGUCGUUAGGACCAAAGCUCUAAAAAACAUGUCGGAACCUCAGCUUCUUGUCUUACUUUUCUGAUAGAUUCACAUCUUAAAUCAAUUGUAAUUCAGUAGUUCUGCUUCUUGAGCUAUUAGCAGUCUUAAAGUCUUUACUUGAAUCCAAAGUCUUUGCAGUUAUUUCCUUACCGCUGAUUUAGUUCUAUAAUGGUCGUUAGGACAAAAGCCUUAAAACAUGUCCGAACCUCAGGGCAUUGGUUUUUUUUUUGCAGUUUUUGUCUGAAAUGUCUUUGCAUUUGUUUCCUUACCGCUGAUUGAUUCUGACAUUGUUUGUUUGUUUGUUUCAUUUAAAUCAACAGGGAUGCAAGCCUCUACCUAGUGAGAUAGCUGGGACAUCGUAUCAUCAUUACUCAUCCCAAAACCAAAGCCCUCUUUCUUCAGCCUUUCAAAGUCCCAUCCCUUCUUACCAAGUCAGCCCUUCUUCCUCAUCUUUCCCCAGUCCUUCUCGUGGUGAACCAAACAACAACAGCUCCCCCUUCUUCCCCUUCCUCGGAAACGAAGGCAUCCCUUCCUCUCUUCCUUCCCUCAGAAUCUCAAACAGUUGUCCCGUCACUCCACCGCUCUCAUCUCCAACUUCCAAGAACCCUAAACCUUUACCCAACUGGGAGUCUAUUGCUAAGCAGUCAAUGGCCAACGCUAAACAAUCAAUGGCGUCCUUUAACUAUCCUUUCUAUGCGGUUUCUGCGCCUGCUAGUCCCACUCAUCGCCAGUUUCAUGCUCCGGCGACUAUACCUGAGUGUGAUGAGUCUGACGCGUCCACUGUUGACUCUGGUCAUUGGAUAAGCUUUCAGAAGUUUGCACAACAGCAACCAUUAUCUGGCUCUAUGGUGCCAACAUCUCCUACUUUCAAUCUUGUGAAACCUCCUCCUGUGCCUCAGCAUAUGUCUCCAAAUGCUGCUGGCGUGUUCCAAGAGAUUGGUCAAAGCUCUGAGUUUAAAUUUGAGAAUAGACAAGUUAAGCCGUGGGAAGGAGAGAUGAUACAUGAU
rnacentral:lncRNA from 1 species